AUGCUAGCAUCAGGCUUGGGGGCCCAGUGGAUAGCAUGGACAUUUCAAAAAUUUUCUUCCAAUGCUAUUUUGGUUUACUUUGUUAGGAAAUUCUAGGGGAAAAAUUAUGGGUGCAUUACAAUCACCAUAAAUGACCCACGUUCCUUUAAUUUCAUGUUGAUCCUGAUGACAAGCCUCCAUUCCUGCUUUCCCUGCUAACUCUCAUCUGCAGUUCAGGACUGAGAGCUAAGAGCUAAGAUGAUUCUCCUUUUAUAUUUAUAAUCUCAGGAUAAAUUGUAGAUGCUAGACAUGAACACAUAAGUUCAUGUUUCUCCAAAGUUCAAACAUCCAGAGAGCUCAUAUUAGCAGAGUGUGUGUCUAAAAGUGCUGGGCAGUGAUGAACAGUUUUCGUAAUUGUCACCCAAGGCUUAGACUGAUCCUGAGGGGCCGUCUGGAUCAUCAAAGAAACCUUUUUGUUCGGUUUCCGUAUUUGAUUUCUUUCAUUUGAUUUUCUCAUUUGCUGAAAACAGAGGAUGGUUUAUUAAACCUCAGCCAGGAUAUUUGAUUAGCGGGGGCACUGCAAGUCUAGCCGUCGUGUCUGAAUGGCGACAGAGAGAAAGCAAAUCCUGCCAGUUCUCUUUCCUGAAGAGGGUACCGGGACGGUGAGAAAGUCCCUUCUUUAAAUGUGAAAGGAGAAAGGACUUGUCUCGCCAACCUUGCCAGCCACCUGAGUUCAAUCACAAAAGGAGACAACGCCGCACAAGGGUUAAUUGCUAACACCUGACUGCUCCUGCCAAACUGGGCGAGUGGGGCUGAGUGCGCCUGCUUCCUUGGUCAAAUUACCCGCUGAAUGCCGGGGUGGGAGCCCGCUCGGCAGGACACCCUGCCCUGCCCGCUUGAGCCCUUGGGCUCGAACACUCCUGGUUUUUAAUCCUGUCCACAGCCCGUCCUCUGUGAGUUGUUAUUUUUCCUUCCUCACCUCUGGACACUUCAGCACAUUCACUGGAAACAUCAUCACAGGCGAACUUGGCUUUGACAGAAACCUCUCUGAAAUGAUUUUUUCCCCCCUGUUCUGGCUUGCACUUGAAUAAUUCUCCAUCAACAGCACGUCUGAUUGAGUUGGCAUCACAAACCCUUUUGUAUGCUAUUUUUUUUUCUUCAAGAAAUAUUAAAGUCUGAAUAAAAUUGGAAUAGCUGCCUGGUAAUGAUCUCAUUAUAUAUAAAUACAGAAGUGCUCGCAGGGGAGAUAAUGACUCCAAGACUCAGGUAUGCAGUGAAUUCCUAUUAUCUUGCAAGGAGUCAGCCCACAGCUGCCCUCCUCCACCACUCCCCCACGCAUCCCGUUCAGUCUCAGGCUCAAGUCGCAGAGAACGAAUGGCUGAUUGAAGCUGGGAAUAGGUUUUUUUUUUUUUUUUCCUUUUCCCCUUCAUGACAUAUGUUAGGAGAUGAAAGGAACCUGGGCCGUGUGUUUACUCUUCAUUUGGGAGUUUCACAUGUUCUGAUUGAUAGGGAAGACAAAAAAGGCAGAAGGGGAAACAUUUGGUGCUGGCUGCAAACCAUAUCCAUUCUCAACGUGAGGUUGCCUCGUCUGGUGAGGGGCCACAGGUCCUGCUGAGAUCUGGGAGAAUGGUCCCUGACUAAUGCUCUGACUUCCGUGGGUGAUGGCAAUUAAAUGUGGAUUCAACUGUUUGCAGAAACUGAGUGUUGGAAUCCCACCUUCUUUUUUCAGGAUGACUUCAGUAUUCAGGCUCCAUUGUUUGUGAUACCACAGAGAUAGGCACAAUGUCUGCCUAUAAGGCACCUGUAAUCCGCUGCUGCUGCUGCUAAAUUGCUUCAGUCGUGUCCGACUCUGUGCGACCCCAUAGACGUCAACCCACCAGGCUCCCCCGUCCCUGGGAUUCUCCAGGCAAGAACACUGGAGUGGGUUGCCAUUUCCUUCUCCAAUGCAUGAAAGUGAAAAGUGAAAGUGAAGCCACUCAGUCGUGUCCGACUCUUAGCGACCUCAUGGACUGCAGCCUACCAGGCUCCUCCGUCCACGGGAUUUUCCAGGCAAGAGUACUGGAGUGGGGUGCCAUUGCCUUCUCCGACCUGUAAUCUAGUAGAUGGAUAAGACUGGACAUGAAAACACCACCACGUGGAACAAAUCUGGAUUUGGUCUCUCAUGUUCUAUUCACUAGCCUUUACAGGCUGCGGUUUUUUUCCCUUUUUUUUGGUUGUGUUGCGUGGUUUGUGGGAUCUUAGUUCUCCAACCAGGGAUCAAACCUGGGACCCCGUCAGUGAAAGCACCAAGUCCUACCCACUGGACCACCAGGGAAGUCUUGACCUAAGC
ensembl:lncRNA